rnacentral:tRNA from 1 species
GCCCACAUAGCUUAGUGGUAGAGCGCUUCCUUGGUAUGGAAGAGGUCGUUGGUUCGAGUCCAGUUGUGGGCA